rnacentral:rRNA from 1 species
AGAGUUUGAUCAUGGCUCAGAUUGAACGCUGGCGGCAGGCUUAACACAUGCAAGUCGAACGAUGACUAACUAGCUUGCUAGUUAUGAUUAGUGGCGGACGGGUGAGUAACAUUUAGGAAUCUGCCUAGUAGUGGGGGAUAGCUCGGGGAAACUCGAAUUAAUACCGCAUACGACCUACGGGUGAAAGGGGGCGCAAGCUCUUGCUAUUAGAUGAGCCUAAAUCAGAUUAGCUAGUUGGUGGGGUAAAGGCCCACCAAGGCGACGAUCUGUAACUGGUCUGAGAGGAUGAUCAGUCACACCGGAACUGAGACACGGUCCGGACUCCUACGGGAGGCAGCAGUGGGGAAUAUUGGACAAUGGGGGCAACCCUGAUCCAGCCAUGCCGCGUGUGUGAAGAAGGCCUUUUGGUUGUAAAGCACUUUAAGCAGGGAGGAGAGGCUAAUGGUUAAUACCCAUUAGAUUAGACGUUACCUGCAGAAUAAGCACCGGCUAACUCCGUGCCAGCAGCCGCGGUAAUACAGAGGGUGCAAGCGUUAAUCGGAAUUACUGGGCGUAAAGCGAGCGUAGGUGGCUUAAUAAGUCAGAUGUGAAAUCCCCGGGCUUAACCUUGGAACUGCAUUUUUAACUACCGGGCUAGAGUGCGUCAGAGGGGGGUGGAAUUCCGCGUGUAGCAGUGAAAUGCGUAGAUAUGCGGAGGAACACCGAUGGCGAAGGCAGCCCCCUGGGAUGACACUGACGCUCAUGCACGAAAGCGUGGGGAGCAAACAGGAUUAGAUACCCUGGUAGUCCACGCCCUAAACGAUGUCAACUAGCUGUUGGGGUCUUCGGGCCUUGGUAGCGCAGCUAACGCGUGAAGUUGACCGCCUGGGGAGUACGGUCGCAAGAUUAAAACUCAAAGGAAUUGACGGGGACCCGCACAAGCGGUGGAUGAUGUGGAUUAAUUCGAUGCAACGCGAAGAACCUUACCUGGUCUUGACAUAGUAAGAACUUUCCAGAGAUGGAUUGGUGCCUUCGGGAACUUACAUACAGGUGCUGCAUGGCUGUCGUCAGCUCGUGUCGUGAGAUGUUGGGUUAAGUCCCGCAACGAGCGCAACCCUUUUCCUUAUUUGCCAGCGGGUUAAGCCGGGAACUUUAAGGAUACUGCCAGUGACAAACUGGAGGAAGGCGGGGACGACGUCA